rnacentral:rRNA from 1 species
AGCGAACGCUGGCGGCGUGCUUAACACAUGCAAGUCGAGUGCGCGUCUGUAGCAAUACAGAUGGCGCACGGCGCACGGGUGCGUAACACGUGGGCAAUCUGCCCUUCGAUGGGGAAUAACCUCGCGAAAGCGAGGCUAAUUCCGCAUAAAUUCCGAUGACCUUGGUCCUUGGACUCAAAGCCGUAAGGCGUCGAUGGAGGAGCCCGCGCACGAUUAGCUAGUUGGUGAGGUACGCUCACCAGGCUAUGAUCGUUAGCUGGUCUGAGAGGAUGGCCAGCCACACUGGGAACUGG